rnacentral:rRNA from 1 species
AAGCCUGUGAGUUAGCGCGCAUUCGUGGCGCGUGCCUGCGAUUGCUUGAUGUGGCGCGCGUUUGCUGCUUCACGGUGGUGAGCGUGUGCCGCUGAGGGCGCGCAGGUUCGCCUGCGGCUUGAAAGAGUUGCGCGGUCUCCCGAAAGGGAAUCGGGUUAAUAUUCCCGAACCGAGCACUUGGAUGCUGCCGGCGUUGCCUGCUGGGCUUCGGUUCGGUUGCGCAGCAAAGGUAGAGAGCGGCAACGUAUACGACCUCGGAGACGCCUGCGAUAGACCUGGGAAGAGUUCUCUUUUCUUCUUGACCGUACCUACCGUGUGCUUGGCCCUGGAAGCAGUUUACCUUGAGAUAGGGCUGGAGGUCGGGCAAAGCGCC